rnacentral:lncRNA from 1 species
AGUUGUCAUCAUAAAGUAUUGAUAUUGUUAAUUAUAUCUGAUCUACUUUUUUAAAUGACUUACCAUAUAUAACAGAAAACAAUAUAUCACGAAAAUAUCGAUUUUUUUUAUUCCGUCGAUUUAUUGUUUCACAUUCCCGUUGGUAGUUAUUAACAGUUUUUAUAAAUUAUACAAUAAAAUUAUACGUCGUUAUAAAAAAUGUAAUGCUUUGAUUUAUUUAGUUGUGUUCUGAAAUAUACACCCACGUCAUAAUUGCCAUUUUGUAUAUCAAGUUACAAAGAGAACUAAUUUUAAUAAUUAACUUUUGGAUGAUUGAAGAAAAUACAAUUUAUUAUUAUAAUCUUUGCACUGGCGGUAGAAAAUUAUCAGUUUUAAUUGCUGUCAUACCCGAUUAAUUAUACACACAUUUCUAGAUUACGCAGAACACUGGUUUCAAGUAAUUCUUUUUUCUUUAAGACGAAUGUACCAUAAAGACGUAGAAAAUAUUAAACCAGAAAGUAAGUUAAUAAAUAAGAAUUGGGUUAAAAGGAAAUAACAAGUAACUUCAAUUAAUAAUUUUAUUACAGAGGCACAAAGGAUUUAAAUUUAAUGGGAAGGUAAGGGUGAAUGACGUUUCGAAAAUGCCAAUUACCAUCAUCAAUAUGAAUAUAUAAAGUUCUGAUGACACAAUCACAUUUUUUAAUAUUACGCUAUAAUAAACGAAUUAUAUUGUACUAGUUCGACACCCGUGACUUUGCUGAUGGUAGAUAGUAAAAUUUUUAGUUAAAAUUUUGUUGUGUCUAGGCAAUAUUAACACACGCACUGGUUUAAUUCCACCACUCCCUUAUUAUUAAAUUGCUUAAAUAUCUAUCUAACUAGUCGAUUGUUUAAUUUUAGUUUAAAGUUUGUCCGUUUAAAAGAUACACACAUAAUAUAUGUGUGUGUGCAUAUAUAUAUAUAUAUAUAUACACACACACACACAUUACUAACUUCAAUAGACUUAAACGAAAUAGCAACACCAUGAAUCGAAACUGGGAUGGAAGCGAUUGUUUGUGAAGUAUAACUGCGUCACACUUGUAACCCAUGACCUUUAGAAAUGUAUUUCUAUAUGUCCUUAUAAGGAAAUAGCUGUUUGGCAUAGUGUGACUAUUUCUGUCAUGCGCAUUUUCCCCGACCGUACAUCACCCGUUUAAAUAUAAUCUUCCGCCAGUAAUAUUUUAUAUUUACAAAGUAUAUUGUUUAAUACUAAAAUUCAAGAAAUACUUAUAUUACAUUUAUAUUAUAUUUUGAAUUAUUUUAUACUAUACUAUAUAAUAGAAUCUGAAUAAAAUUGUUUUUUUAAAGGGAACUAUAUUAUGCGCAUGAUCUCAGCGAUCAGUCUCGUAUUAAUAUCAAAUUCUUAUUGUGACGCAUAGUUUGGAGAAAUCGCUCAUACUGAAUGGACGUUCGGGAAAUUUUAUCGUAAAUUUGGUUUGCUAUUUUCACUGUCUGUUUUUAUUUCUUAUCUAGCGGAUUAUGCUGAUGUAGUGUGUGCCAUCUUGAAAACGGAAGAAAUUUGAUUAUGCUCUCAACUGAAAUGCAAACUACUUGUGGGUUUCUUUCUUCUGGGUAAGCGAACUCAAGUAGUUGACCCUAUAAGUAACCACUUAAUAUUUAGUGUUGUUUACGUAUAAGAAUUAAAUAAAAUUUUGAAGUUUCUGCUCUUAAGUUCUUAAAAUAAAAAUAACUUUCUUGGUUCCUUGCUGUUAAAUUUUCUUUUCACAGUUCAACGCUGAAAUAGAAAUUCUUGCCAGUUUGCUGCUUUGGUUUUGCCAUCACGUAGGGAAUAAUAUAUACAUAUAAAGCAAAAAGGACGCUAAGGUUGGCUUUUCAUUGCCUCAUUAUUACAAUUAAAAAGAAUUUUGAGAUAACGUUAAAUAUAUAUUUGCAAUAAUUUAUUCACUUGUAAUAAAAAACCAAAAAAAAACAACCCCGCAUUACUUUUUAAUGCUUAGGAUUAGCAAAGUAGACCACCAAAAUGAUUAUUUGCCACACUUUUAUAACCUUUCUUUUCAGUUAAUCACUGGACUAAAUUCCUAAUUAUAUACAUCGUUUUGCCUGACCCAGAUUCCUGCAUACAGAUAUCUUACUGGAUUUAAAAGGUUGGCUUUUCAUUGCCUUUUCAGAAAUUGACAUU